rnacentral:rRNA from 1 species
AUUGAACGCUGGCGGCAUGCCUUACACAUGCAAGUCGAACGGCAGCACGGGUGCUUGCACCUGGUGGCGAGUGGCGAACGGGUGAGUAAUACAUCGGAACAUGUCCUGUCGUGGGGGAUAGCCCGGCGAAAGCCGGAUUAAUACCGCAUACGAUCUACGGAUGAAAGCGGGGGACCUUCGGGCCUCGCGCUAUAGGGUUGGCCGAUGGCUGAUUAGCUAGUUGGGGGGGUAAAGGCCUACCAAGGCGACGACCAGUAGCUGGUCUGAGAGGACGAACAGCCACACUGGGACUGAGACACGGGCCAGACUCCCACGGGAGGGAGCAGGGGGGAAUUUUGGACAAUGGGGGCAAGCCUGAUCCAACCAUACCGCGGGGGUGAAAAAGGCCUUCGGGUUGUAAAACCCUUUUGUUCGGAAAGAAAAGCAUCGGCCUAAUACCGCGCGGGGGUGACGGUAACCGAAGAAUAAGCACCGGCUAACUUCGUG